rnacentral:tRNA from 1 species
UCCAGGGUAACCUAGUGGACAUGGCAUCUGCCCGUUAAGCGGAACACUGUGGGUUCGAUUCCCAUCCCUGGAC